ensembl:lncRNA
GAAUGAGAUAUCAACCAGAUUCCUUUUUCUAUGGCUUCCCUAAUGUGUCUAGAGUCACAAUACAUAGUUUCAGGCUUUUAUUUUGAAAAAUGAGCCUGAACGUCAACAUUGCAUCAGUGGUCAGCUGAAGUCUCUCAGAGUGUUUUGUGCAUAAAGGACAAAUGCGGCCAUUGUUUCUCUCUAUCCUACUAAGAAGCCACCAGUCCCGGUUGAUAUAUUAUCGAAUAGAUAUUUGAAAAACACCUUGAGGCUUGAUUAUAAACAAUGUUUGCCAUGUUUCUGUCGAUAUUAUGGAGCUAAUUUGGAAUAUUUUUCGGCGUUGUAGUGACCGCAAAUUCCGGUCGAUUUCUCAGCCAAACGUGAAGAACAAACGGAGCUAUUUCACCUACAAAAAUAAUAUUUUUGGAAAAAAGGAACAUUUGCUAUCUAACUGGGAGUCUCUUGAGUGAAAACAUCCGAAGCUCAUCAAAGGUUCACCAGCUGACAUCAAUCAAGAAACCCAUGUGGACUGGAUAUGUAAACAUUGUACUGACUCUGGUCUUCCAAAAUGGCACCUAGAGUGAUUGGUAGGUGAUUGGUAGGCUCUGGUACGGCAACUGCUCCGCCCUCAACCGUAAGGCUCUCCAGAGGGUAGUGAGGUCUGCACAACGCAUCACCGGGGGCAAACUACCUGCCCUCCAGGACACCUACACCACCCGAUGUUACAGGAAGGCCAUAAAGAUCAUCAAGGACAUCAACCACCCGAGCCACUGCCUGUUCACCCCGCUAUCAUCCAGAAGGCGAGGUCAGUACAGGUGCAUCAAAGCUGGGACCGAGAGACUGAAAAACAGCUUCUAUCUCAAGGCCAUCAGACUGUUAAACAGCCACCACUAACAUUGAGUGGCUGCUGCCAGCACACUGACACUGACACUGACUAAACUCCAGCCACUUUAAUAAUGGGAAAUGAUGUAAAUAUAUCACUAGCCACUUUAAACAAUGCUACCUUAUAUAAUGUUACUUACCCUACAUUAUUCAUCUCAUAUGCAUACGUAUAUACUGUACUCUAUAUCGUCGACUGCAUCCUUAUGUAAUACAUGUAUCACUAGCCACUUUAACUAUGCCACUUUGUUUACAUACUCAUCUCAUAUGUAUAUACUGUACUCGAUACCAUCUACUGUAUCUUGCCUAUGCUGCUCUGUACCAUCACUCAUUCAUAUAUCCUUAUGUACAUAUUCUUUAUCCCCUUACACUGUGUAUAAGACAGUAGUUUUGGAAUUGUUAGUUAGAUUACUUGUUGGUUAUUACUGCACUGUCGGAACUAGAAGCACAAGCAUUUCGCUACACUCGCAUUAACAUCUGCUAACCAUGUGUAUGUGACAAAUAAAAUUUGAUUUGAUUUGAUUUUGCAACUGCAACCCCUCUAUGGUCUUGAAGAGCAGGAAGUGAAUAACCUACAGCCUCAUCUCUCAGCACUAAACUCUUUGCUUUCUUUUCUCUUCACCGUUUUAUCUUCCUUCAAUGUGAUUAAAGGCUGACGCAGUGUUUCCACUGUCUGAAAAUAGACUCACUGUUAGUUGCUGAUCUAUAGAAGUGUUGUGAAAACUCACUUUUUAUAUGGAGGGGGAAAGAAGGGUGGGGUGAGAAAGAUGGCUAUGUCUCCUGAAUCUCUGUCCCAGUGGAAAUAGACCAAAAUGCUGCAGACACACAAAUAGGAUUCUGGGAAGAAUUAUUGACAGGCUCAGCACUGUUGUGACAGAGAGAGAGAGAGAGAGAGAGAGAGAGAGAGAGAGAGGCUGGGAGAGGGAGGGAGAUGUAGAGAGGUGUGGGGCAAAGAUGGAAAGAUACAGGGAGUAACAGAGAGGGAAUGCUUAUUUAUUUUGUCUUGUCAUUGUUAAAACACUGUGUAUAUAUAUAUAUAUAUAUAUAUAUAUAUAUAUAUAUAUGACAUUUGUAAUGUCUUUAUUGUUUUGAAACUUCUGUCUGUGU